UUGGAAGAGGAAAGGAACUUUAUACUAUUUUUAAUUUGAUUUAUUAAGAAAGUACGUUUAUUAGCAAUAAAAAGCAGCCCAAAUUCUUGACAGAAAAAAAAAAUACUGUUGAGUUGGAUCCAUAAAAGGGGAGAGAAAUCCAGUUUCGACUCCGAAAUUCGCUUCACAAUCGGGUCGACUCGCGCAUAUAUUUUCAUUGGUCGGGUCAUUAGACUUCUACUUCUAGAGUUUAUUCGCCACAGCAGUCUCUUCUCUCUCCAAAAUCAAGGUUUAGGGUUUUUCGUUUCUUUUCUUUUCUUUCCUUUAUUAUUUUUUUUUUGCUGCAUUUGAUUUGGGACAUGUAAGGCGCCAUUCCCAGAAUAUUAAAUUUAAUACAAUCUGAUUAUUUUGAUGAUUUCCUAAUCUCAAAUUCUAGAUACUUUUUGCAUCAAUGGCGGUGGAUGUUCCUGACACGGCAGAGACGAGUGUUGCAGAGUCGCCAGUGGAGGAUGUUCAAGUCUCACCCUGCUGUCAAGUGUGGAAAAACAAAUAUUCAAAGGCAGAAAAGGGGCGAAUUUGUCUAAAGCAAGCAGUGCGUCUACUUGAAAAAGGAUGUGAUAAUAUUCAAGCCCAGAAUUUGACUCUCAAGAAAGUAUAUGAAGAAGAGCAGGCACGUGCAAAGGUGGAGAAAGAGGGAAGAGAAAAAGAAUUGGCUUUAAGAGUUUUGUUGGAGAAUGAGUUAUCUGCUCUAAAGUCUGAGAUAUCCAACUUAAAGCAAAAGGGAGUUUCAAAUGUCGAAGAUAAAGCUGAAGAAAUAAAGCUUCUUAAAGCUAGUGUUUUUGACAGGGAGAAGGAAAUAAACUGGCUCAAGGAGCUUGUUGAGAAAGAGAAGAAGAGGGCAGAUUUGGAAAAGAAGAAAGCUGCUGAAGUAUCAAAACAUGCAGAAACUGAGAAGGGUAAGGCUGGUGAAGAACAGAGGCUUGUUGAUAUUGAACGAAAGAAGGCUGAGGAGUAUAGAACACAAUUGGAGGCAUUAAGAAAAGAAGUUAGCGAAGUAAAAUCCAAGUUGGUUACUGAGAAGUUAAAGUUUGAUGAGGCAACUAAGCAGCUACAAGAAGAAAAAAAGCUGGCAGGUGAUGAAAGAAAACAUGCCAAUUUGGAGAUGGCUAAAGCAAAGGAGCAGUGGAAGAUUGCAGAGGAAACUAAGAAGAAAGCUGCUGAAGUAUCAAAACAUGCAGAAACUGAGAAGGGUAAGGCUGGUGAAGAACAGAGGCUUGUUGAUAUUGAACGAAAGAAGGCUGAGGAGUACAGAACACAAUUGGAGGCAUUAAGAAAAGAAGUUAGCGAAGUAAAAUCCAAGUUGGUUACUCAGAAGUUAAAGUUUGAUGAGGCAACUAAGCAGCUACAAGAAGAAAAAAAGCUGGCAGGUGAAGAAAGAAAAUGUGCCAAUGUGGAGAUGGCUAAAGCAAAGGAGCAGUGGAAGAUUGCACAGGAAACUAAGAAGAAUGCUGUUGAAGAAAGAAAACGUGCUGAUAUGGAGAUGGCUAAAGCUGAGGAUCAGAGGAAGAUUGCAGAAGAAACUAAGAAGAAGGCUGUUGAAGAACAAAAACGUGCUGAUUUAAAGAUGGCUGAAGCAGAGGAUCAAAGGAAGAUUUCAGAAGAAACUAUAAAGAAGGCUGUUGAAGUAAGAAAACUUGCCGAUUUUGAGAUGGCUAAAGCAGAGGAGCGAAGGAAUGUUGCAGAAGAAACUAAGAAGGCUGUUGAAUGCAGAAAACGUGCUAUUGAGGAGAUGGCUAAAGUAGAGGAGCAAAGGAAGAUUGCAGAAGCAUCUAAGAAGAGAACUGUUGAAGAGAAGUUGCAUGCUGACAAUUUGGCCAAACAGCUGGAAGAGGCUAGAAGAAGGAAUGAAGAACUAGAGAAGAAGUUACAUGAACUUUCUGGCUCAAGAAAUUUGGGGGAGGGUCGUUUUGACCAACCAGAUAGAAAUAAAAGCGCUGCCGCUGCAAAAACAGAAAAGGCAGCACAAUUGGAGGUGUUGAAGGAAGAUACAGAUAAGUCAAGGGCAGCUUCUGACUCUUUGCAAUUUGAGGAGGUUGAGAAAGAAAAGGCUUUUAGUGAGAGAAAACAAGCAGAUUCAAAGACAAGGAUAGCAGAAAAGAGAAGAAAGCUUGUGGAGCUGAAUACUAAGAAGGCUGUUGAAGGAAAACAUUGUGGUGAUCAUCUAUCAAAGCAGUUAGAAGAUGCCAGGCUGAAGAUUAAUGAAUUGCAGAAGCAGAUAUAUGAACUCUCAUCCUCCAGAAAAGUGGUUGAUGCUUUGGUUGUUUCAUCUGACAAAGGCAUUAGUGCUGAAGUAGCAAAAGUAAAGCUUUUGAAAAAACAACUGAAGUUUGAAAAGAAAAGAGUAAAGCAUGCAAAAGAUGUGGCUAGGUUGGAAAAAAAUCGUAACAGUCUUUUGCAACAAGAAGUAGGUUGCAUGAAGCUUGAGUUAAUUCAAUUUUUGAACCGCUUGGAUUCAUUGGAUGCAUGUUUCUCAACUCCUGCUGAAGGUAUAAAUGACAUGGAAAAGGCUGGAGACUUUGCAAGUAUGCAAUGGUCAAAGUUGAAAAAAAAUUUGUGCAGCUUAAAAUUAUGUCAAACAUGUCUUCAAACUGAAAAUCAACUGCUGAAGACUAGGUGCAUGGAUUCAACUGUGUUCGAUUCUCUUGGGGAAACAUUUCAACAUGAUGCCCAUUUGCCUCCAAUACAAGGAGGGAGCUGUACUGAAUCCAUCACAGGUAUUAAUUCUAAAUUGGAGUCUCUGCUUGAAGGCUCUAAUCGAAAAAUGUUACAGAGUUCUGCUAUAAAUUCCAGUAUGGCAUCUUUUUCUGAUAGACAGUUGGUGGGCUCACAGGAAAGGGGUACUCUUUCUGUUACCACAUCAGCAAAACUGGGUGAAGAGAACUUAAAUUUACAGCCAACUAUUUCAAGUAUGUUUGGUGAAGUUACAAAAAAUAGGUGCAAUGAAAAUCUUGCUGUGGUUGCUGAAAAUAGUGUUAGAUGUCCUCUGGGGAGAAUUAAUGGCCGUAUUAGGAAUAGGAAAAUGUUACUUGACGCUGUAGAAUCUAUUCAACUUUUGUGCUGUGAGAGUAAGAAGUUGAAUCAACAGCUUGAGGACAAGCUAUCAGUUUUGCAUUGUAUGGUAAAAGGGCAUAUGGACAAGCCCAGAGAAGGUUCAAAACUUGUGAGACCUAACCUGCAUGAUAUUGCAUAUGCUGUGCAUGAUGGGUCUCAUAAGAGGAGAAAAAAGUCUCAUGAAGGGACAGUAGUUAUGGAGCAAUCUUGUGAUGGUUUGCAGAUGAAGCAGAUGCAAAGUUGCCCUGAACACUUGUCCAACCCCGAUACAAUUGACCCAAAAAUUAUGGUUGGUUUUGAGGAAGUUGUCAACAAGAACUAUAUGAAAUUGCUGGAUUUGGAUGAUGCUGCCGAGGAGGAAUGCUAUAGGAUGGCAGCAGAAAUGCCUGUAUCCCCUACGCUUCCCGAGAUUGAAGUUCCAGGGAUUGAAACAUUUGAGGUGGAUCAAUUUAGACCAAUACAGGAUGAGAAUUGCGAGAGAUUCUCUCACAAAAGUGAAAAUAUUGCAUCUUCUGACAGUUUUGAUGUUAUGAAUGUGGAGAAUGGUUCCAAUAGGAUGCAAUGUAAUAGGGUGGACACUUCACCUAAAUUAUUACAACAUCAGAACGAGUGUUCUCUUGGUUCCUUUGACAUUCUAAGGAGUAACGAGAAAGGUUUUUGCAGUACUAUGCCAGCAGGAAAAGCCUGUUUAAGCCAUUACCAGAAUUCUGGAAUGGAAAUGGAUAUGUCAGUUGUUCCUAGUUCUUUGGAUGGAGUGGCAGACAUUCCAUUUGAAAAUGAAAUUAGAUCCACCAUUGAAAGUAUUCCGAAAUACUGUGUUAUGUUCUCUAACAUUAAGGAUGGUAGCAGUGUCUCUAGAAUUUUUUGUGCGACUAAAACUUGUAUGGCUCAAUGCUCUUUGCCUUCUCAGGCACAGUUUGUCGUGCAUAGAAUUUUACAUGCUCUUAAACUGGAAGAAAAGCUUUUACCCAAGGAGAGAGUUUGUGUAUUUUUCUCGCUGGUGCUUUUUAACUUCUGUACAGCUACUUCAGGGAAAUUCUCUCUGAUUAGGGAUUUCAUCCCAAGCUUAAAUUUGUUUGCUGAACACAUUGAUGAAGUGAUGUCUGAUGCUGAGUCAAGAAGUUUAGUUUCUGAAUUAUGUUUGGAUGAACUGCUUAGUGUAAUGGAGGAUUUUCUUAUAGACGGGAGAGUUAUGUUGUAUACUAAUCUGUCUUCUGAGACUGCUGUUGAAUGUGAUUCAAAAAUGCAUGUCAUUAUUGAUGGUUCGGAUGUAAUAUUUUCUCAUGAAGCAGCUUCAGCUGACCUGUUGGUGGGAGGUAGCAUUAUUUUGGGUUCAUUAUGUGCAACUGCUGACCGUGCUGGCUUUAUGUGUGAAGCUGUGUAUAACAUUUUCCGGAUGCAUAGAUAUGAUACUGCUGUGGUACUGGUUAUUCUUCAUGUGUUUGCUUAUGUGGGUGGCAAUAAAAUUUUCACCUUAAGAGAUUAUAGUUUAAUAAUGACUGUAUUGAAGUCGGUGGUCAUGUUCCUUGAAAGUGAAUGUGCACCGGUGGCUAUAGCGACUCUUUCACCUGUGGGUGAUGUUCAACCGCAGAUCCAUGCAUGUGUUGGAUGCCCAUUUUCUAAGGAUGCGCUUUCUGUGGAUAUUGUUGUCUCAUUACUCUUUGCAAAGCUUCAGAAUUAUGCCCAGUCAGGAAUUAUGCAUCAACAUUGGACAGCAAAUUCAUCUAAUUCAAGUGUCACGUACAUUGAAGAUAAAGUUGAACACAACUUGAGCUGUGUCCUUGAUAUGAAUUAUGAUGCAUCCUGUUGUUUAGACAAGUACAUUGUGCCUGGUAAACACUCAGUAUCGGGUGUUGCUGGGACUUUGUGUGACAUUAUUGAUGUCUUAUCGUUGAUGGAGCUGCUUGCAUGCAAUAUGAGCUGGGACUGGACAUGCAAGAAAAUCAUUGCCCAGCUGUGGAGUAUGUUGGAGUCAUCUGUUCUUGAGAACCUCACCAUUGGUAUCAUUAUUCUUCUUGGUCAACUUGGGAGGCUUGGAGUUGAUGCUGUUGGAUAUGAAGAUAAAGAGGUUGAAAACUUGAGAGUCAAGUUAUAUGCUUUCCUGUGGCGGGAGACUACUAUUAGAGCAGGUCUUCCCAUCCAGCUUGCGACUGUUACUGCUUUGGUUGGGCUUAUAUCCCUUGAUUUUGAGGAGGUUAUUCUGGAGAAUGUUAAGCUUCCAGUCAUGUCAGGUCAAUUUGUUCCUGCAGAUCUUAUAAGAAACUGGUUUUCUUUGUUGACUGAAGAUCAGCGAGCAAUUUCAACUAGGCUCUUCCGGUCUGUUAACUGAGAUGUUUCAUCGUUUGAAAGUUUUUCCCUUCUAACGCAAAGCACUUGAGGUUCAGGUUAGUAUUAGAUGAUCCAUGCUACCCUCUGCUGAAUAGGAGUUUGCCAUAUCUUCCAAGCUAAGGGAGAAAGACAUUUCGGCUAAGAUGGAAGAAUAGGAGUUGGCCUUGUUGACUAUUGUUUUUGGUUGAUGGGGUAAGAUAUUUCAGUUACUACUAGCAGUUACAGGUUGGUUCAUAGUUCGGGAUGUUUAAAGCUGCAAGUCCUUACUUUCUUACGAGUCCUUUUUUAUUUUUUUAAAUAUUACUGUUUUUGAAAAUAUAUAUUAACAAUUUUUUCCAUUUCAAGAUAGUGUUAUGGAUGGCAUCUGAAGGAAAAUUAAAAUGGUUAAAUCUGUAAUGAAGGCCAUUAUCAGAAAUAAGUAAUUAGUAAUAGGACAUGAAGUUGAUCAUGCAUUGCCUUGCUUGGUAGGUACUAGGUAGCUUGAAGUCCUGUCAGUUUUGAUUUGGAGUUCGGACCAAAUCAGAUCCUCACCCAUAGCUUUUCUUUCCAAAAUUCGUCCAUUGUCAUCUAUCAAGUAAGCAUGCAGGACAUUAUCUGCUGAAAGGCACAAGAAUGAAAACGAAGGUCCCAAAACCACCUCCACUGAAGUGUCCACCGACCCCGACAGCAGGGCAGAGUUCUUCCGGCAAUGCAUGGAUGCUACGUUUCUCGCUUAGCAUGGCUGAUAAGAUCAAUGAUGAUGAAUGAGGUCUCGCAUAAGUAUGAUAGGACUUCAUAGUCAUUGCCACCACUUCGGACCCUGAUUUGCAAACCAUGCUUUUUUGCUACAAAGAAGGGCUGCUUGGAUUUCAGGCUCAUGGAAAGGUGUGAUUAAAGAAGCGUUGAGGUAGAGGUAUUUAACCAUCUUAUGUUUCGUAAAGUGGAUUGCAAAAUAGAUGAAAACAAAGGGGAAUCCGAGGUGAAGAUGAUUUCAAAGCUUUUGGUAUAGACCCUAAACAGGGUUGACAUACACUGCAUAAAAUCAUCCUGGAUUGAAUCCUAAGUGUAUUGCAGAGAAACUAGAAUGAUAUGUUUCAUAUCUCUUUAUUUGAGGCAUUUUGAGCUGUUGGGCUUUAGAUGAAAAGGAAUGUUUCAGUAGGGAUCCUGUAAGGUUGGCUUGUCGCGAGUCUAGAACUGUAUGGUAAACAUCAAAUAGAAGAAUGGCGAUCAUUCGAAUAUUAAUUCCGUGAAAUUAUAAAGCUUGGUAAUUCAGUC